rnacentral:tRNA from 1 species
GCAUUUGUAGUCCAACGGUAGGAUAAUUGCCUUCCAAGUAAUAGACCCGGGUUCGACUCCCGGCAAACGCA